rnacentral:rRNA from 1 species
GGUAUCGCCGUUAGUCAUGUGCAAAUAUGGAUAGCUGUUUUAGCCGUCUUUAUUGACUGGUUCAUAAGAGUUAUCAGAUAUCACUUUGAUUAAAUUAGAGUGCUUAAAGCAAGUGUGUUACUUGGAUAUAAAUGCAUGGAAUGAUGGAAUAUGUUGUUAUUCUAUUUGUUGGUUUUUGAAUGAUAAAAUGAUUGAAAGGAACUGUUGGGGGCAUUCGUAUUGUUGUGAGAGAGGUGAAAUUCUUAGACCACAGCAAGACGAACUACUGCGAAAGCAUUUGCCAAGAAUGUUUUCAUUGAUCAAGAACGAAAGUUAGAGGUUCGAAGGCGAUCAGAUACCGCCCUAGUUCUAACCAUAAACUAUGCCAACUAGCAAUUUGCUUUGUAUUUUUUAUGACUAAGUGAGAGGCCACGGGAAACCUAAGUAGGGUUAUGGGGGAAGUAUGGUUGCAAAGCUGAAACUUAAAGGAAUUGACGGAAGGGCACCACCAGGAGUGGAGCCUGCGGCUUAAUUUGACUCAACACGGGAAAACUUACCUGGUCCUGACACUAGAAGGAUUGACAGAUUGAUAGCUCUUUCUUGAUUUGGUGGAUGGUGGUGCAUGGCCGUUCUUAGUUGGUGGAGUGAUUUGUCUGGUUAAUUCCGAUAACGAACGAGACUCUAGCCUAUUAAAUAAUACACGGAAUUUUAUCUUCCGCGGUAUUUCUUAGUGGGAUCAAGCG